CCUACGGGUGACAGCAGUGAGGAAUAUUGGUCAAUGGACGAGAGUCUGAACCAGCCAAGUAGCGUGAAGGAUGACUGCCCUAUGGGUUGUAAACUUCUUUUAUAUGGGAAUAAAACAGGGUAUGCAUACCCUCAUGUAUGUACCAUAUGAAUAAGGAUCGGCUAACUCCGUGCCAGCAGCCGCGGUAAUACGGAGGAUGCGAGCGUUAUCCGGAUUUAUUGGGCUUAAAGGGAGCGUAGGUGGUUUGUUAAGUCAGUUGUGAAAGUUUGCGGCUCAACCGUAGAAUUGCAGUUGAAACUGGCAGUCUUGAGUACUGUAGAGGUGGGUAGAAUUCGUGGUGUAGCGGUGAAAUGCUUAGAUAUCACGAAGAACACCGGUUGCGAAGGCAGCUCACUGGACUGCGACUGACACUGAUGCUCGAAAGUGUGGGUAUCAAACAGGAUUAGAUACCCGAGUAGUC
rnacentral:rRNA from 1 species